GAUUGAACGCUGGCGGUAGGCUUAACACAUGCAAGUCGAGCGGAAACGAAGAAUAGCUUGCUAUUCUGGCGUCGAGCGGCGGACGGGUGAGUAAUGCUUGGGAAUAUGCCAAAACGUGGGGGACAACAGUUGGAAACGACUGCUAAUACCGCAUAAUGUCUACGGACCAAAGCAGGGGACCUUCGGGCCUUGCGCGUUUUGAUUAGCCCAAGUGGGAUUAGCUAGUUGGUAAGGUAAUGGCUUACCAAGGCGACGAUCCCUAGCUGGUCUUAGAGGAUGACCAGCCACACUGGAACUGAGACACGGUCCAGACUCCUACGGGAGGCAGCAGUGGGGAAUAUUGCACAAUGGAGGAAACUCUGAUGCAGCCAUGCCGCGUAUGCGAAGAAGGCUUUCGGGUUGUAAAGCACUUUCAGUGGGGAGGAAAGGGUGUACGUUAAUAGCGUGCAUCUGUGACGUUACCCACAGAAGAAGCACCGGCUAACUCCGUGCCAGCAGCCGCGGUAAUACGGAGGGUGCGAGCGUUAAUCGGAAUUACUGGGCGUAAAGCGCGCGUAGGUGGUUAAUUAAGUCAGAUGUGAAAGCCCAGGGCUCAACCUUGGAACUGCAUUUGAAACUGGUUAACUAGAGUUUUGUAGAGGGUGGUAGAAUUUCAGGUGUAGCGGUGAAAUGCGUAGAGAUCUGAAGGAAUACCAGUGGCGAAGGCGGCCACCUGGACAAAGACUGACACUGAGGCGCGAAGGCGUGGGGAGCAAACGGGAUUAGAUACCCCGGUAGUCCACGCAGUAAACGAUGUCUAUUAGAAGUUUGUGGCUAUAUGCCGUGGGUUUCAAAGCUAACGCAUUAAAUAGACCGCCUGGGGAGUACGGCCGCAAGGUUAAAACUCAAAUGAAUUGACGG
rnacentral:rRNA from 1 species